rnacentral:rRNA from 1 species
CCUACGGGGGGCUGCAGUGGGGAAUAUUGGACAAUGUGGGGAACCCUGAUCCAGCCAUGCCGCGUGUGUGAAGAAGGCCCUCGGGUUGUAAAGCACUUUCAGUGAGGAAGAACGCCUGGUGGUUAAUACCCAUCAGGAAAGACAUCACUCACAGAAGAAGCACCGGCUAACUCCGUGCCAGCAGCCGCGGUAAUACGGAGGGUGCGAGCGUUAAUCGGAAUUACUGGGCGUAAAGCGCGCGUAGGUGGCUUGAUAAGCCGGUUGUGAAAGCCCCGGGCUCAACCUGGGAACGGCAUCCGGAACUGUCAAGCUAGAGUGCAGGAGAGGAAGGUAGAAUUCCCGGUGUAGCGGUGAAAUGCGUAGAGAUCGGGAGGAAUACCAGUGGCGAAGGCGGCCUUCUGGACUGACACUGACACUGAGGUGCGAAAGCGUGGGUAGCAAACAGGAUUAGAUACCCGUGUAGUC